GACGAACGCUGGCGGCGUGCUUAACACAUGCAAGUCGAACGGAAAGGCCCUGCUUUUGUGGGGUGCUCGAGUGGCGAACGGGUGAGUAACACGUGAGUAACCUGCCCUUGACUUUGGGAUAACUUCAGGAAACUGGGGCUAAUACCGGAUAGGAGCUCCUGCUGCAUGGUGGGGGUUGGAAAGUUUCGGCGGUUGGGGAUGGACUCGCGGCUUAUCAGCUUGUUGGUGGGGUAGUGGCUUACCAAGGCUUUGACGGGUAGCCGGCCUGAGAGGGUGACCGGCAACAGUGGGACUAAGAGACGGGCCAGAGGACGACGGGAGGAAGCAGUGGGGGAGAUGGCACAAGGGGCGGAGGAAGGAUGCAGAAACGGCGCGUGAGGGGGGACGGCCUUCGGGUUGGAGACCGAUGCCGCCGGUGACGAAGCGUGAGUGACGGUAAUGGGUAAAGAGGCACGGGCUAACUACGUG
rnacentral:rRNA from 1 species